UGCACUUCAAAACAAUCUCCUGAUAAUAAACGCUUCAUUUCUCGCUGAGAUGUGAUGUCUUUAUCAAAUUGGCACAGUGAUAAGGUUUGAGGUUUCCUAUUUCUGUGAAAGUUUCAGGAUUCUUUAGAAUUGUUUGUAGAUGCGUGUCACUGUAGCAUCCAAUGCAUCGGAGAUAUAGCAAUCAUUAAGAUAGAGACAAUUCUGUUGGAGAGAGAUAGUAGGAACUGCAGAUGCUGGAGAAUCUGAGAUAACAAGUUGUAGAGCUGGAUGAACACAGCAGACCAAGCAGCAUCAGAGGAGUAGGAAAGCUGACGUUUCGGGUCUAAACUCUUCUUCAGAAAUUUCACUUUAUCUCCAUUUCAGACCGCAAAAGGACAUUUGCACAUUUGACUAAUUCUGAAAUUGCACGCCAGGCCCAGAUGAGGACAGUACUUGGAAGGGCGGUUGAUUUUGGAAGGUGACUAGAGUUAAGUAACGUCAAAUCAGACCCACAGAAAGAAUGGUUGGAUGUCAAUGUGAAUGAUGGCAUCACUGGCAGGUAUUUUCCAUCCCGAAUUGCCCAGAGGACUGUCAAGAGUCAACCACAUUGUGGGUCUGGAGUCACAUGUAGGCCAGAUCAUGUAGAAUAAUGCGGUCUGGGAUGCGAUUCACGUUUUUGAACGUCUUGUGGCAAAUUAUUUGAGGCCUCAUUGACAUCCUACUCUCCUAUAUCACACUCCAGCCUAUGUAACAUGUAAUGCUCUCAAUGCUGUUGUAUAGUCAUCCUCUGCAGGAAAGUGUUGCUUUUUCAGAAAGCAUUCAUAUAAAACUAAUGUACUAAUUCUGUCAAAUUAUAUUAAUGCUAAUGUAACAGAUUCAUUCAAAACACUUCAUUGUUGUAGCCAUUCAGCACAAACCUCUCUGCAUUAAAACACAUUUUUCAGGCA